rnacentral:rRNA from 1 species
UACGUAGGGUCCGAGCGUUGUCCGGAAUUAUUGGGCGUAAAGGGCUCGUAGGCGGUUUGUCACGUCGGGUGUGAAAACUCAGGGCUCAACCCUGAGCGUGCUUCCGAUACGGGCAGACUAGAGGUAUGCAGGGGAGACCGGAAUUCCUGGUGUAGCGGUGGAAUGCGCAGAUAUCAGGAGGAACACCGGUGGCGAAGGCGGUUCUCUGGGCAUUACCUGACGCUGAGGAGCGAAAGCAUGGGGAGCGAACAGG